rnacentral:rRNA from 1 species
CGGUCCUAAGGUAGCGAAAUUCCUUGUCGGGUAAGUUCCGACCUGCACGAAUGGCAUAAUGAUGGCCAGGCUGUCUCCACCCGAGACUCAGUGAAAUUGAAAUCGCCGUGAAGAUGCGGUGUACCCGCGGCUAGACGGAAAGACCCCGUGAACCUUUACUAUAGCUUGACACUGAACAUUGAAUUUUGAUGUGUAGGAUAGGUGGGAGACUUUGAAGUAGUCACGCCAGUGAUUAUGGAGUCGUCCUUGAAAUACCACCCUUUAACGUUUGAUGUUCUAACGAAGAUUGCGAAACGCGGUCUCGGACAGUGUCUGGUGGGUAGUUUGACUGGGGCGGUCUCCUCCCAAAGCGUAACGGAGGAGCACGAAGGUUUGCUAAUCACGGUCGGACAUCGUGAGGUUAGUGCAAUGGUAUAAGCAAGCUUAACUGCGAGACAGACAAGUCGAGCAGGUACGAAAGUAGGUCAUAGUGAUCCGGUGGUUCUGCAUGGAAGGGCCAUCGCUCAACGGAUAAAAGGUACUCCGGGGAUAACAGGCUGAUACCGCCCAAGAGUUCAUAUCGACGGCGGUGUUUGGCACCUCGAUGUCGGCUCAUCACAUCCUGGGGCUGAAGUAGGUCCCAAGGGUAUGGCUGUUCGCCAUUUAAAGUGGUACGCGAGCUGGGUUUAGAACGUCGUGAGACAGUUCGGUCCCUAUCUGCCGUGGGCGUUGGAGAAUUGAUUGGGGCUGCUCCUAGUACGAGAGGACCGGAGUGGACGCAUCACUGGUGUUCCGGUUGUGUCGCCAGACGCAUUGCCGGGUAGCUACAUGCGGAAGAGAUAAGUGCUGAAAGCAUCUAAGCACGAAACUUGCCAAGAGAUGAGUUCUCCCACACAUAAAGUGUGUAAGGGUUGUUUAAGACUAAGACGUAGAUAGGUGCGGUGUGUAAGUGUAGUGAUACAUUGAGCUAACGCAUACUAAUUGCCCGAGAGGCUUAGCCAU